UAAAUUCCAAUUGCCCGCCAAACAACUACGAGUCGUACUUGAAACUUAAAAGACUUGACGGUACUUCACCCCGACCUAGAGGAGCCUGUCCAAUAACCGACGAUCCACGAUUAACCCCACCCUUUCUCGCCCAACAGUCUAUAUACCGCCGUCGCCAGCUUACCUUGUAAAAGAAAUAAAGUGAGCUAAACAGUACUACACUAAAACGACAGGUCGAGGUGUAACCAAUGGAAGGGACCAAGAUGGGCUACAUUCUCAAACCGAGAAUACGAAUAGCACUACGAAACUAGUGCCUGAAGGCGGAUUUAGCAGUAAGAUAGGAACAAAACACCUGGCUGAACAUAACGCAAUGAAGUGCGUACACACCGCCCGUCAUCCCUGCCACCACC
rnacentral:rRNA from 1 species